UCUGGGGGAUAGCCCGCCGAAAGGCGGAUUAAUACCGCAUAAAACUGCAGUGUGGCAUCACAUCACAGUUAAAGAUUUAUUGGAUUCGGAUGGGGCUGCGUGCCAUUAGCUAGUUGGCGGGGUAACGGCCCACCAAGGCGACGAUGGCUAGGGGAGCUGAGAGGCUGGUCCCCCACACGGGCACUGAGAUACGGGCCCGACUCCUACGGGAGGCAGCAGUAGGGAAUAUUGGGCAAUGGGGCGAGAGCCUGACCCAGCCAUGCCGCGUGCA
rnacentral:rRNA from 1 species